UUUCUUGUUUCUUUUUCUUAUCUACAAGAACUCAGUUGUAAGCUUGCAGGAAUUCAAUGGAUGGACAGCUCAAGAUAUUCUUGAAACUCCAAGCAGCUCAAUUAUAAAUAAGAAUGCAUGCAUUUGAGGUUGCCUUCUUCGUUUGGGUUCCAGCCCAAUUUGGAGUAAAAUUGUGCUACCACGUGCACACCGUGAUCAUUGUUACAAGAGUUGUCUUAGUGUAAGAGUAUCGAAAACUUAUAUCAGGAGCUUCUUCCUCCCAAGCACGAUGAUUAUCAUAAGAUGCUGAGGUCUGUUCCUCUUCUUUUUCCCCAAGUAGUUUGUUUAUUAUUGGAGUGGAUUGGAUGUUAGAGAACUUGCAAUUCAAUUUGGUGUGGUCAGAUCAUUCUCUUUGUUCCAAAGGAUUUAUCCCUGUAAGGUUUAAUUCUCUUUUUGACAUGUGUUAUCAACUGAUCAUAGAGCAUGGUACCACAUGUGGAAGUCACCUAAAUUGUUUCUGCAGUUGGAUAUAAUUCAUGUAUAAGAUUAUGAUUUGCCUAGUUUUCUUAGGUAUAGCUACACCAGCUCCAGGACAGGCGCAACUUUUACUUCCUAAUUUUGUUCCUAAAUAUGCUGUAGGACUCUUUUUUUUUUUUUUUUUUGUGUUCGUGGU